rnacentral:rRNA from 1 species
ACGGGAGGCAGCAGUGGGGAAUAUUGCACAAUGGGCGAAAGCCUGAUGCAGCGACGCCGCGUGAGCGAUGAAGUAUUUCGGUAUGUAAAGCUCUAUCAGCAGGGAAGAUAAUGACGGUACCUGACUAAGAAGCACCGGCUAAAUACGUGCCAGCAGCCGCGGUAAUACGUAUGGUGCAAGCGUUAUCCGGAUUUACUGGGUGUAAAGGGAGCGUAGGCGGCAUGGCAAGUCUGAUGUGAAAACCCAGGGCUCAACCCUGGGAUUGCAUUGGAAACUGUCAAGCUAGAGUGUCGGAGGGGUAAGUGGAAUUCCCAGUGUAGCGGUGAAAUGCGUAGAUAUUGGGAGGAACACCAGUGGCGAAGGCGGCUUACUGGACGAUUACUGACGCUGAGGCUCGAAAGCGUGGGGAGCAAACAGGAUUAGAUACCCUGGUA